CGCGGAAAAUAUGCCCAAAGUAGCGGCUGUUAGUAUUCGAUGAACGCGAAGAAAAAAUAUAGUCGCUGAUAACUGAUGUAGACACAUGUGUCGAUCUGUAAUCUCCGCCGUCGAAUUGAUUGAAAUCUAAUGGCGUACCUUACUUCUCUGCCGUCUAUAAAGAGUAUCACAUCUUAGGAGCCUUCGAGGAAAGUGGGUAGAGCAAUAUUAGGUGGUGCACAAGAAGCAGAAGAAGACCAGGUAUGAAAGCAAAUAAAUCAUCAGAUUUCCAUAAAGGAUCUGCAAGGCAACACGGUGACUAUGAACAAAGGCCUGUUGCAGUGUGGAGUAAGAACUGGAUAAUUGGCAGGUGGUUUGCGUUGCUCUUUUUAUUCUUUUUUGUUUUCGUUGUGGACGCGCAUUGUUUUUUUCUUCUCCGUAGAUACAACCCAGAAGACACAGUUCAUGGAUUGUUAAUUAUGGGCUUUGGAAACCUGGUUGGCUUCGUUUUUCUGGCCGCACAAGCUCAAGAAUUAAAAGAAGAUUCAAAAACCGCGGUUGAUGUGCCUUGGUGGUGCUACGGAUUGACAAGCUAUAGAUCUAAUUAACGAUUCAAUGGUUGGUGAGCAAGGGGUUUGUCCAAAAAUUGAAGCUGCAGUAAGAUAUUACAUCAAUGAUAAAGAUGUGCAUUAUAAAUUUUAUGUUCUACAAUACCCUGCCCGAGUGCCCGGUGUGUAAAUGUUUGUAAUGAGAUUUUAAAUUCCUUAAAUUUGUAGUAUCUGCUGUUGGUGGAGACUUCGUCCCAUAAAUUGUGUAUCUAUGGCUGUGGUCAUGUUGAAGUUUCAUUGUUUUUCACCUUGGUGUGGAGCAGGACAGGACCAUGGGUUGGCGAUGGAUUUAGUGGCAUCCCUAAUUUCGCAAAAGUGUGGUGAAGACUUUUAAGAUCACUCUAUAUUUCAUUUUAUAUAUUCUAUGUGCCUCUUUCAACUGUAUACGGUUUUCUAUGUUCGAGACAUAUUUUGAUAAGAUCUAUUUUCAUAAUUUAUUUCUA